rnacentral:tRNA from 1 species
GGAAGCGUAGCGAAGAGGCCGUAACGCGCCGCACUCGAAAUGCGGUUGUCCAGUAAUGGGCACGUGGGUUCGAAUCCCACCGCUUCCGCCA